UACAAUUGAGGUAAGGGGUGCCUAACACCUUCCCCUUACUUAACUGACUCCCGAACCUAGUAUCUCACCUUAACUAUUAGGUUUUAUCAUUAUUUCCCUUGUUCCUUAUGAACGAAUAAAGGGUGGUAGCGACUCUGUCAUUUUUCCAACCGUGACAGCCGGCAUCUCUGCCAGGGAAUUCUUAUAUUAUCCCUAAAGAGAGUCUGUCCUAACCUCCGGUUCUAGGUUUUUG
rnacentral:lncRNA from 1 species